CACGUAGUUAGCCGUGGCUUUCUGAUUAGGUACCGUCAAGACGUGCAUAGUUACUUACACGUAUGUUCUUCCCUAAUAACAGAGUUUUACGAUCCGAAGACCUUCAUCACUCACGCGGCGUUGCUCCGUCAGGCUUUCGCCCAUUGCGGAAGAUUCCCUACUGCUGCCUCCCGUAGGAGUCUGGACCGUGUCUCAGUUCCAGUGUGGCCGAUCACCCUCUCAGGUCGGCUACGUAUCGUCGCCUUGGUAAGCCGUUACCUUACCAACUAGCUAAUACGGCGCGGGUCCAUCUAUAAGUGAUAGCAAAACCAUCUUUCACUAUCGAACCAUGCGGUUCGAAAUAUUAUCCGGUAUUAGCUCCGGUUUCCCGAAGUUAUCCCAGUCUUAUAGGUAGGUUACCCACGUGUUACUCACCCGUCCGCCGCUAACGUCAAAGGAGCAAGCUCCUUGUCUGUUCGCUCGACUUGCAUGUAUUAGGCACGCCGCCAGCGUUCAUCCUGAGCCAGGAUCAAACUCU
rnacentral:rRNA from 1 species